rnacentral:rRNA from 1 species
ACCUAUUCUCAAACUUUAAAUAGGUAAGAUUUCGGGGUUGCUUAAGCGAACCCCGAGGAUCAAUAAAAGCUCCAAGUUGGACAUUUUUGGUAAGCAGAACUGGCGAUGCGGGAUGAACCGAAAGCCGAGCUACGGUGCCAAACUGCGCGCUAACCCAGACACCACAAAGGGUGUUGAUUGAUACAGAVAGCAGGACGGUGGUCAUGGAAGUCGAAAUCCGCUAAGGAGUGUGUAACAACUCACCUGCCGAAWCAAUCAGCCCCGAAAAUGGAUGGCGCUGAAGCGCGCGACCUAUGCUCGGCCAUCGCAGCGAUUCUGACGCCGCAAUGAGUAGGAGGGUGCGGGGCCUACUGCGAAGCCUCCAGCGUGAGCCUAGGUGAAGCGGGUCYCGGUGUCGAUCUUGCUGGACAUGGGUCAGUCGGCCCUAAGAAAUGUGGAAACCUUGUAUCAAGGGCGCACUGCGCGCCGCACAUCGAAAGGGGGUCGGGUUAAUAUUCCCGAACCGGGUUGUGGAGGUGGAUGGUAAUGUAAGCAGCUCCGGAGAUGCYGGCGGGGGCCGUGGGGAGGGUUCUCUUUCUUUCUUGACGGCUUGCCCACCCUGGAAUCGGAUCAACCGGAGAUAGGGUGCAGCGCCCGACAAAGCACCGCGCGUACUGUGGUGUCUAGCGUGCCCCCGACGGCCCUUGAAAAUCUUGAGCUGCGGGUACCUCGCACGCUCAGGUCUCCUAGGUGAGCAGCCUCUGGUCAAAAGAGGAAUGUAGGUAAGGGAAGUCGRCAAUAUGGAUCCGUAACCUUGGGAAAAGGAUUGGCUCUGAGGGCUGGGCCGAGGGGUCUGCGCCUCGAUGUCGUUGGYUGCCGGUGGUCUGCCCGAGCUGCUCUCGCGGCGAGGGCGGAGCCCUCGUGCCAGUGUGCCAAUGGGCGUAGAAUGUCUUAUGUCCCCACCUUUCGGGUGUGGCCGUGGGACUCUCCCUACGUAUCAAACUGCCGACACAGAACUGGUGCGGACAAGGGGAAUAGACUGUUUAAUUAAAACAAAGCAUUGCAAUGGUCCCAACGGAUGUUGAGGCAAUGUGCCCAGUGCUCUGAAUGUCAAAGUGAAGAGAUUCCCAAGCGCGGGUAAACGGCGGGAGUAACUACGACUCUCUUAAGGUACAAAAUGCCUCGUCAUUUAAUUAGUGACGCGCAUGAAUGGAUUAACGAGAUUUCCACUCUCCCUAUCUACCAUCCUCCGAAACCACGGCCAAGGGAACAGGCUUGGAAGAAUCGGCAGCGAAAGAAGACCCUGUUGAGCUUGACUCUGGUUCGACUCUGUGAAAUGACUUGAGAGGUGUAGAAUAAGUGGGAGUCUUACGGCGCAAGUGAAAUACCACUACUUUUAACGUUAUUUUACUUAUUUCGUGAGGUGGAGCCGGGGCUCUGCCCCUGCUUCUUGAUCCAAGGUGCAGAUCCUCGUGGCAUGUCCGAUCCAAGCGAAAGACAUUGUCAGGUGGGGAGUUUGGCUGGGGCGGCACAUCUGUUAGAAGAUAACAUAGGUGUCCUAAGAUGAGCUCAACGAGAACAGAAAUCUCGUGUGGAGCAAAAGGGCAAAAGCUCAUUUGAUUUUGAUUUCCUGUACGAAUACAAAC